rnacentral:rRNA from 1 species
CCUACGGGGGGCAGCAGUGGGGAAUAUUGGACAAUGGGGGGAACCCGGAUCCAGCCAUGCCGCGUGUGUGAAGAAGGCCCUCGGGUUGUAAAGCACUUUCAGUGAGGAAGAACGCCUGGUGGUUAAUACCCAUCAGGAAAGACAUCACUCACAGAAGAAGCACCGGCUAACUCCGUGCCAGCAGCCGCGGUAAUACGGAGGGUGCGAGCGUUAAUCGGAAUUACUGGGCGUAAAGCGCGCGUAGGUGGCUUGAUAAGCCGGUUGUGAAAGCCCCGGGCUCAACCUGGGAACGGCAUCCGGAACUGUCAAGCUAGAGUGCAGGAGAGGAAGGUAGAAUUCCCGGUGUAGCGGUGAAAUGCGUAGAGAUCGGGAGGAAUACCAGUGGCGAAGGCGGCCUUCUGGACUGACACUGACACUGAGGUGCGAAAGCGUGGGUAGCAAACAGGAUUAGAUACCCCUGUAGUC